GAUGAAGAACGUAGUGAAAUGCGAUAAGUAAUGUGAAUUGCAGAAUUCAGUGAAUCAUCGAAUCUUUGAACGCACAUUGCGCCCCUUGGUAUUCCGGGGGGCAUGCCUGUUCGAGCGUCAUUAUAACCCCUCAAGCUCAGCUUGGUGUUGGGGCCUGCCAACUGGCAGCCCUUAAAAUCAGUGGCGGCGCCAUCUGGCUCUAAGCGUAGUAAUUUCUCUCGCUAUAGGGUCCCGGUGGAUGCUUGCCAACAACCCCCAAUUUUCUAUGGUUGACCUCGGAUCAGGUAGGGAUACCCGCUGAACUUAAGCAUAUCAGUAAGCGGAGGA
rnacentral:misc_RNA from 1 species